UACGUAGGAUGCAAGCGUUGUUCGGAAUUACUGGGCGUAAAGAGUACGUAGGCGGUUUGAAAAGUCUGAUAUUAAAGACUGGGGCUUAACUCCAGGAGUGUAUCGGAAACUUUCAGACUAGAGGACAAUAGAGGAAGUCGGAAUUCUCAGUGUAGCGGUGAAAUGCGUAGAUAUUGGGAAGAGCACCAGUGGCGAAAGCGGACUUCUGGGUUGUUACUGACGCUGAGGUACGAAAGCGUGGGGAGCAAACGGG
rnacentral:rRNA from 1 species